GACGCGCUCAGAUAUACUGAGUGAGCCCUGAGAAGCAGUCUCAGAUCCUGACGGUGCCGCAGCCCGCAGCCUCAGCCAGGGAGUCCCAGCCGCUUUCAAUGGAGGAGAAGCCCGGCCAGCCACAGCCUCAGCACCAUCACAGCCACCACCAUCCGCACCAUCACCCCCAGCAGCAGCAGCAGCAGCAGCAGCAGCAGCAGCCGCCGCACCACCACCACCAUUAUUAUUUCUACAACCACAGCCACAACCACCAUCACCACCACCAUCACCAGCAGCCUCACCAAUACCUGCAGCAUGGAGCCGAGGGCAGCCCCAAGGCCCAGCCUAAGGCGCUGAAACAUGAGCAGAAACACACCCUCCAGCAGCACCAGGAAACGCCGAAGAAGAAAACAGGCUAUGGUGAAUUGAAUGGUAAUCCUGGAGAAAGAGAAAUAUCUUUAAAGAGCCUGGGUUCUGAUGAAGCUACCAACCCUAUUUCCAGGGUGCUCAAUGGCAACCAACAAAUUGUAGACACUAAUUUGAAGCAGACUGUAAAGGCCAGCACCUUUGGGAAAGCAGGAAUUAAAACCAGGAAUUUCAUUCAGAAAAACAGUAUGGACAAAAAGAAUGGGAAGUCUUAUGAAAAUAAAUCUGGAGAGAACCAGUCUGUAGACAAGACCGAUACUGUAGCAAUUCCAAAUGGUGUUGUAACAAAUAAUUCUGGCUAUAUUACUAAUGGUUAUAUGGGCAAAGGAGCAGAUAAUGAUGGUAGUGGAUCUGAGAGCGGAUAUACCACUCCUAAAAAAAGGAAAGCUAGGCGCAAUAGUGCCAAGGGUUGUGAAAACCUUAAUUUAGUGCAGGACAAAAUAAUGCAACAAGAGACCAGUGUCCCAAACUUAAAACAGGGACUUGAAAAUUUCAAGCCUGACUACAGUGAACAAAAGGGAAAUCGAGUAGAUGGUUCAAAGCCCAUUUGGAAGUAUGAAACUGGGCCUGGAGGAACAAAUCGAGGAAAACCUGCUGUGGGGGAUAUGCUACGGAAAAGCUCUGAUAUUAAACCUGGUGUGAGCAGCAAAAAGUUUGAUGAUCGGCCCAAAGGAAAGCAUGCUUCCGCUGUUACCUCCAAAGAGGACUCGUGGACCCUAUUUAAACCACCUCCAGUUUUUCCAGUGGACAAUAGCAGUGCUAAAAUAGUUCCUAAAAUAAGUUAUGCAAGCAAAGUUAAGGAAAACCUCAACAAAACUGUACAGAAUUCCUCUGUGUCACCAUCUUCAUCUUCAUCUUCUUCGUCUACUGGGGAAACCCAGACCCAAUCUUCAAGUCGGUUAUCCCAGGUCCCUAUGUCAGCGCUGAAAUCUGUUACUUCGGCCAACUUUUCUAAUGGGCCUGUUUUAGCAGGGACUGAUGCAAGUGUAUAUUCUCCAGGGGGUCAGCCACUGCUAACUACUGCUGCUAAUACUCUAACACCCGUCUCUUCUGGGACUGAUUCAGUUCUCCAGGACAUGAGUCUGACUUCAGCAGCUGUUGAACAAAUUAAAUCUAGCCUUUUUGUCUAUCCUUCAAAUAUGCAAACUGUGCUAUUGAGCACAGCACAAGUGGAUCUACCCUCUCAGACAGAUCAGCAAAAUCUGGGGGAUAUCUUCCAGAAUCAGUGGGGUUUAUCAUUUAUAAAUGAGCCCAGUGCUGGCCCUGAGACUGUUCUUGGGAAGUCAUCAGAUCAUAAAGUGAUGGAGGUGACAUUUCAAGGGGAAUAUCCUGCCACUUUGGUUUCACAGGGUGCUGAAAUAAUCCCCUCAGGAACUGAGCAUCCUGUGUUUCCCAAGGCUUAUGAGCUGGAAAAACGGACUAGUCCUCAAGUUCUGAGUAGCAUUCUAAAAUCUGGGACUACUAGUGAGAGUGGAGCCUUAUCCUUGGAACCCAGUCAUAUAGGUGACCUGCAAAAAGCAGACACCAGUAGUCAAGGUGCUUUAGUGUUUCUCUCAAAGGACUAUGAGAUAGAAAAUCAAAAUCCUCUGGUGUCUCCUACGAACACUUUGUUAGGCUCCGCCAAAGAACAGAGAUACCAGAGAGGCCUAGAAAGAAAUGAUAGCUGGGGUUCUUUUGACCUGAGGGCUGCUAUUGUAUAUCACACUAAAGUUGCCUGAAAUACAUACAUCCGCGGUUAGCUGCAGUCUGGAAGCAGAUGAUCCUUUUGAAUUGUCAGAAGGUCAGUAGUAGCCUAAUGCUAUGUCACUGCCUAUUGUCAUUCAUCUCCCAUCAUCUCAUCGUGUGGGCAUUUUUUCAUCUCAUCACAAGAAGAAUGAAUGGCAGUUGGAUGGCCAUGGGAAGAGUACUUACUCUCAGUCCUAGUUAUAGUUCAUUCCUGUUACUGUGUAGUCUUUGUUUACAUUGUAAACCUAGUGGAGUAUUUCCUUUCAAGAAAUGGAAUCUGUUUGGAAUUUGCAGAAGCAAGAUCCCAAAAGGAUAAUCACUUACAAUGAAGCCAUGGAUAGUCCAGAUCAAUGAAGGACCAGACUGCCUAUUUGUAACCUUUCUGCAGCAUUAGAGCCACCGUUCAUGGGGGACACAAGGCUUUUAUGCUCCUAGAUCUUCAACGCAGCAGAGGAACCAUAAGUAGAAUCACAGGAUAAUAUAUACAAAUAUAUAUAUAUACAUAUAUAUAUAUAGUUAUUUAAAAAAAAAAGGCAACUGAAAGUAAUUAGACUUCUUAAGGAAUCAAAUUUAUUUCAAGAGACUACACAUGGUUAUUUAAUCUCCGGUACUGAAUAGUUUUUUUUUUUUUUCUUUUUUCUUUUGUUAAUUUUUGUUUUUAAGUGUGAAUGCAAGUGAUUAAUGAAUACAGACUUAUUAACAAGCGUGGUUCUAAAGUUCCUGCUGUCAUCAACUUGGGCAAGAAAUGACCCACUGGAAAGGCAAAUCCACUUUUAAAAGAUCUGUAUCUUGUUCUGUGACUAAAGUGAUACACUAAUCACGGGGAACCCAGAAUGAUUCAACAUUUUCCCCCCACUCCUCCCUUGAUCUUUUGGUUAUACUUUGAGCCCUGCGAGAAUGCUGGAUAAAUGCCUUGAAGUUUGCAGGGGUGUAUUUUUUUAGCGAAUAUGAUUUGCAUGUCUUGCCAGGAGUUAAGCAGCCUCUGUGGGGUGUUGGGGAAAUUCUUUCUUUCUUUUCCUUUUAUUUUUUGUGGGGUGGGCUUAGGGGAGGGCAUUGAAGUUCUAUAAUUCUGGAAUAGUUGAUGGUACAUAGUUCACUUGGCUUUGGUUACAUGGACUUUAACAAGUGAAGAAUCCAUGAAUGUCAUUUGAAGAAAAGUUACAGAACAAACAAUUGGCUUUAGAGAUUUAAUAUGAAAAAAUAUUCCUUUGCCCAUAUUUUAAUGUAAUUGUAUAAGUGGGAGCAAAAAUAUAUUCUGCUUUUCAACUGUAGGUGCUCCAGACUUGCUCUCUGUCACUAACACUAAAUGUGCUGUUUUCCUUGUUUUUCAUUGAACAUCUAAAGAGAAACUUCUGUACCUUUCUGUAAAUUCUUUUAGUUUUCAGAAAAUUCUAAAAGGGGAAGAAAAAUUUCCAUGAAAAUUAUAAAACUUUUCAUGUUUUUAGCCAGUGAGGAGGAGGUAAUAAACCCUACCUAUAGAAGGUGUGUUUUCAUGCAAACUAUACUUCUGAGCUUAUUAGCUUCUAAUUAUAUCUUAAUAAAUAUAUUUUAUUACUAGAGCAAAAUGGGUUUUUUAAGGAAAAUAAUGUGAAAUUCUGGAAAUUUUCUUUUGGGCAGAGAGGAGCAUUAGCCCUGUCUUAUCAUCACAUUGCCAUCCUGUUGCACUGCAGCUUGUAUAUAGCAUGCUAAAAUAAAUUUUCUUGUGUGUGUGCAGAAAUUAAGGGUCCAGUUUAAGAUUGAGUGAUGUUAGUGGCAUAAAAACAAGUUCUCUGGCCUGACAUAACAUCCCAUCACAUCUCUCUCUCUCUCUCUCUCUCUCUCUCUCUCUCUCACACACACACACACACACACACACACACAGAAAUUAGUAUAUCCAUGUAUGUCAAAUACAGGUUAAAAUAGCAGGGCAUUUAUAUAGAGAGGUGUAGUCUCCUAAUAAAAGUAGACUGGAUCCCCUGGGGUGUUUGGAGGAGAGGGUACCUACUUCUGCUCAAACCCUUUGCUUAAGAAAUGUCCAAUUUUGAGUGACUGUAGUAUGGAUGAGUUUUCUUGUUUUGUUGAUUAUUUGAGACUUUUAACAUGUAGUUUGUGAAAGAAGCUGUUGGACUCCACAUAGAGUAGAGAAAAUAUCUUCAGUCUGGAUUUCUGCCCUGCUUAGAUUUUAAAAGUAUAAGCAUGGAUUGCCAAUUCCAUUUGAUGUAAACAAAACUUUUUAUACAUAAUAUAUAUAUAUAAUAACUUAUUGUAUCAGUCCAGGUUCAGAAACUUGUGGUAGGCCAGUUCCAGAUAGUUUCAUUUCACCUGUAAACUGUAUCACUUUUACUGAUAUUGUAAUUUUCAAAUGUAUAAUAUGUUUACAGAUGUGCCCUGCAUUUAGUCUGCCUUGUUCCUAUUUUGAUUUUUGUUGAGUCUCCUGCCUGCUUGCCAAAAGCUAGGAUGCUUCAGGCCCAUGUACAAUUGAAAGCAGAGGCAUCCUUGAGCUUUAAAGCAUUGAACAAACUGGAAAAUGCAACAUACCACAUACUGAAGUGAAAGAAGUCUGUGUUUUUGUGUUUUUUUUUUAAUAAAAAUUUUCAAAAAGUUAAAAAAAAAAAGAUAUAAGGUUGAUUAAAGGACAAAAAAGGCUCCAGUUUGUUUUAUAGGUUUUAAAGUUCUGCUGUGUGUUCAAUUGCCUUGUGUAACCACUUGUCGCCUUAGGGCCAGAUUUCCCCCUCACCUCCUCCCCUUCUUUUUUUUUUAAACGUCCAUUUUGCUUGCCUGGAAUUUAAAAGCUCUUCUGUCUCACAACUCACAAGAAACUUUCUGGGUUUGUGACAUAGAGGUUGAAUGAAUAUAAAUUUAAAAAGGAAAAAACCCCAGCCCCCAUCUAAUUGGGCUUUUUAAUUUAGAAGCAACACUUAAAAAUAUCUUUAGAAAUAUGUUUUUCCUACUUCCCUUCCAUAUCCCUCAGGCCUCCAUGUUUAGAGAAGCCAAAAAGAGAAUGUAUCCCUUACCUGUUUGUCCAAAGGUUUUUGAGAGUUCACUUCUAAAUGAAACAAUGCAACAUUUCACCUUGAUUUUCUCCACUGAAAUUUCCUUGAUUAUAUGGUUAGAGGUAUAUAGUUAGGAAUGUCUUUCUGGGAACCCUAGUGCCCCAUCAUAUUAUUCGUCAGUAUUUUUGGGCAUUGGGUUAAUGGACUUAAUUGCCUAGGUACAAGCAGGACUUUGGGACAAAUCUCCUUUAUGCUGUUUGGUAACACUUAACUCUACUUGUCGCAAUCUUUCUCCUUAGGUCCUCACACAAUUCCUUACAGAGCACUUAUUAAAAAAAAUCUUAAGAGUUGAUCUGUUUUCUGAUUAUUUUUGUGUAAGCUUCUAAACAAACUUCAGCUGUGAUUAAUUUAGCACAUUUAAAUAACAUUAAUGUGUUAUUGUUUGGUAUAAAGAAUUUUUCUUCAACUCAGAGUAUUAGUACUGUAGCAUAAACCAAAUACAGUCUAGAGGGGGUUUUUAACAUCCCUCCAUUAUAAAGACUGAAAAAGGAGUGUGUGUGUGUGUGUGUGUGUGUGUGUGUGUGGUGUGUAUGUGUGAGGGACAGAGGGAGAUAGUAAAAAUUAGUAAAUGAAUGUGUGUAAGACUUAGUAUUCAGAGAAUGAACUUGUAUUUAUUUUGUGCCAUUUGUUUUCAUUACACAGAAUAAAAGUCAGGUGGUUUUAAUCCUUAAAAGGGUAGUAUUUGAAAAAUGGCACUAAGAAUGAAAUCAUGACCUAUUUUUUUAAUAGCUAUGAAGAUACUAAUUAUGGGUGAAGAUUUCUUUUUAAAUCUGUCUUGAUUGUAGGCUUCUGUGUCACAUACCACUCUUGUAGAUGUCUUGAAUAAUUCCCCCUUCCCCACAAAAGACAGGGUGUAUUUAUCUUUCUCUUUAUUCACCCCCACCUUGCUGAACUGAAGUUAAUUGCAUAGCCUUUCCUCUGACUUUCUUAGAAAUGAACUUUCACAUAAAAUAUAUAUACAGCAUCUGUAGUUAGCCCUUCCUCCUUUCUGGGAGGGGUUAGACAAUAAUUAGGAAUUUGUUAGUGCCAGUUUGUUUUUUUCUUGGAAUAAAUGGCUGGAGAAAUUAUCUCCAUUUUAGAAUUUUGCUGUUCUCCUUAAUCAUCUGCUUACCUAGUCAUUGAAAAUUGCAAAAACUUGAUAAAGGAAAAAAAAAAGUGCUGCAUUGGUUUUUCAAAUAAGUUUCUAGGGAAAUACAGCAAAUCUCAUGAAUAUUGUCCACAACACAAAAUGUGUUUCUUUACAAAACAUUACAUAGCAGCAGUAGUUUCAUACUUGGUUGUUAGUCUUGUUGCUAACCCAAUUGGAGGCAUCUAAUGGUUUAUCUUCUGAAAACUUUUAAACACAAAAAGCCAUUUAGUGUGAAAUUUUAUGUCCUACCCAAUGGCCACAGGCAAGGAAAACUGGAAGAGGACUUUGAUUUAAAGUUGUAAGUAAGGAGGAAGUCAUUCUGUCAAGGCUUUCUUCAGAGAAGUAGAUGUAAAAGUCCCAUUUCCAAGGAUUAGGAGUAUAGUUAUGCCACUGGGCUAUAUCCUCGACACAUGAUCCUUGUAUACCUAUGCUAACUGCAAAAGACUAUAGUAGGAUGUAUUAUGGACAAUUUUUAUGAUCACAUCUGUUGAUGGUGUACUAAUUGAAUUAGAUUCUGAUUGGGCAGUGUCCUUUAAUAGUCCUACCCAUAAUCAAACUGCUACAUUUUGAAAGAGGAUAGGAUUUGCUCAUCUUUUCUCUCCAGAGUAUUGAUACUUAUUUAAAUAAGGGGAGGGGCAGAGAGUAAGAUUAGAAGUAUGUUUAAUAGCUGCUCUGAGUUUACAGAUACAUAGGUUAUCUUUAGUUCUUAAUACUGAUGUUAUUUUUAUUAAUGUGGCUAAUCAACAGAGCACCAGGAUUUUAUGGUGACAAAGAUGGGCUUAUGCUUUGAGUAUCUUAAAAUAUUUCUUUUUAAAUAUACCUAAAUCUGUUUGGCUGCGUGAGAGCCAGGACCACCUUGGGUUGGUUUAAAGAAUGAAAUCAUUGGUUCCCCUCAAAUGCACUGCUUUACUGAGUUUUAAAUUUCACACUGUUUUGCUACUCAUUAAGAAUAAAUAGAAUUUUAAGUUGUCUGCAUAAUAGAAACACCCAGUGAAGCAUGAAUGGUGUGUUGCUUUUGCAUUACUGGGAGUGUCCAAUAGCAGUUAAUAGAAACCUAUGGAACAGCCAUCCUCACGUGUGUUGGGAUUGCUGAUUCAAACUUCCCUAUUUAUCCACAAAAUUUUGCUUAUGUCCAGAGUUCUAAAGCCAUUUUAUAAUACUCCAGUAUCCCUUUUCUACAGCCUUACUAAAAUAGCUACAAACAUAUUCCAAUGCAGUAUCCCUUUUCUACAGCCUUAUUAAAAUAGCUACAAACAUUUUCCAAUUCAGUUUCGCUUUCGUUGUAUAUCAAAGUUUUAUCCUACAGACCAAGAAACCAACUUGAGGUAAAUUACAUAGCUUUCCAUUUACCCUUUUUUCCUCAGGUGCUAAAUAAAGGCUCCAAAAAUGGAUACUGCUUUAGUAAUGUCUUUUAUUCUUAAACAUUUCUUUUGCUAGAUGUAAAGAUUUGGUGUUAACAAAAAUGGUUUUAAUAUGUAAAUAUGAAUGAAUGCCUUUAGUUUGCCUGUUUGUCUAUUAAGUCUGUUUCGUUUAUCCUCAAUAGAGGAGGAUCCUUUCAUAAUCUUGAAUACAUUUCAUUAGGAAUUGUUGCAUUAGGAAUUUUUAAAGUGAAAAUACAACUGUUUUCUGUCUUGGAUUAAUCCUGCUGCUGCUAUGAGAAACUGAAAAUCAAGAAUGUGAUGCACUUUUUACAUUACUAUAUACCAUACCUUUAUAAGUUGCUUUGAAUACCUUUACGGUAGCACAGCCACUAACAAAAGUGAAUGAAUUUAAAAUUUUUCUUCAGGAGGGAAUCAGUACAAAUAAACUAUUUAUGGUAUUGGCCUAUGAAGGACAGUAACUUAUGAAAAUAAAAAUUGUUAGUAUUACACUUUUUGGCCUUAAAAUGUCUUCUACUACUGAAAAUCUUUUAAAUCUUAGUUUUGUUUCUGUUCCCUCUCUCUGCCUCAAAAAGAGGAUUUUGGAAGAAUGGCUUAAAGGAAGUAUCAUUUGUUUGUUGCUGAUUUAUCUUUUAGAAAGAAAACAAUUGUCUACUAUAUAAGUUGGGGACUUUCUUGUUUGUAUACAGAGGAGAAAUAAUGCCAUCCCGAGCCAGUCAGAUUUAGUAUAAUCAAAUCAAUCAAAACUCAACUAUUCUGCUUCUUUAGUGUAUUUUUACUUAACAAAGAUAAACUUUAGUAGGAAUGCUACUUGACAAGAGGAAGUCAUUUCUCAAGCACAUACCCAAACUUGAAGGAGUCUGAACCCAAAAUAAUGGAGGAAAAAACACCAAAUGGGGUGGAGGAAUAUGAGAAAGAUACGUGGUCCAAAGCUAUCUGGUUAUAUUUUGAUGUUGCCAAUAUUGCCAAGCCAAAUUUUUAAUUUGCUUAUUUAAUGUUUGUUGGCCAGAGAUCUAUUUUUAUAUCAAUGUGCCUUGCAUGUAUAUUAAAAAAGUUUGGAAAGGCCAUGUAGUAAUGCCUAGGAUAGUUGACGGUUCUUACCACCUCACUAAUUUUUAUGCAGUAUGAAAUGCUCAUUCUAUCGCCCAACUGGUGCUCUCUGUUUAAAGUUAUAGGUCUUGUCACAAACUGGAACUAUUUUAUAAACUGGGGAAGUGAUUUAAUUUACUUUUUUUGUUGUUUCUUUUUUUGUUCUUAAUCUGUUAGUGGCUGUUCUGUAGUGGGAAAUAGUAAGAGGAUUCUUCGCUCCCUUACCCUACCCCCUCAGCACCUUCUUCAAGUAAUGUGAUGACACCAUUUCUUGUGUGCUUUGAAAAAAGUUUCAGCUUGCUGUCUCCUUUAGUGUUAUAAAAAGGUGUUAUAAAAAGCAUUGUUUGCAAAAUCUAGGGAGAUAAUGGAGUCCACUUUAAUUUGGAAUUCUAUGUGAGCUAUGAUCCCAAGUUACUGGCUCUUUCCAACUUAAAAAAAAUAUUGUAAAAGCACCUUGGCUUAGAAAAUUUUAAAUAUUUAUGUCUGCAACAAUUGUCUAAAAAUAAUGAACUGUGCAAUUCUUGUCAUUAAAAAAAGAAAAAAAAAAAGAUCUGAACUCUCCCUAAUGUGACUUGUUAGUUUCUUUGUAUUUCCUGCCAGUGUAAAUGUGAAAAGCUUUGCUUGCAUUACGUUUUAGAAAUGCAUUUUGCACACUCGAAUUUUGCUGAAGCUCCAUGAAAAGGUUAGAUCUAAGUAGAUGAAUAAAGCUAUGCACAUGUUUUGAAAAUUUAAUUUGUGUGUCAUUACCAAAAGUGACCUAUCCUUAUUACUUUGCUGUUUUUAGCUUUACCAUCUUUAGAAACAUGGCUCAAAGUAAUAGUUCUAGGCUAGUUCAUCAGUAGAACUAGAAGAGAGGAAAACUGGCACCUAUUUUAAUAAACUUCAGUUUAAAUGAGAGCUGGACUUGUAUCUAUUAAAGGGCUUUUCUUGAAACAGGGCAGUUUUAUCAGCUUUACAAACUUCUGGAUGCUCUCACUUCCUCGUGGAAACUUUGGUUUAUUUGAUCAAAUAGAAAUGGGAGGUAACUCAGAUAUGAGGGAAGGACCUUUGCCACAUGGAGUUCUGUGACAAUUCUGUGUUGUAAGCCUGGUUUAAAGGUAGGAUAAUCUUUUCCCUUUAUUGCUUUAGCAUAUGUUUGGUUUUACUGAAUGAAUGACGAGCUUAUAAUCAUUCAUCUAUUUAAAGAUCAAAGCACAGGUUAUUUUAAAGAUAAUGUGUAUCUUUUAAAAGUUGCCCAAGCGGAUUAGAAUAAAGUGAAGAAGUUGGGCGAAUUUGGUUAAAUUGCUGCAGUCUGCAUGUACUAAAUAGCUUUACUUCACAUGUAUGUGUACUUAAACAAUUGUGUAGAUGUACUGGCCAGGUUUGUCAAGUCAUCUUUUAAAAGAUUGUUUUGUAAUCUACUUAGGACUUUUAGAGAAGAGGCUAAAUAAGUUUAAGUAGAAGAUAAUAUUAAUGGUACUUUCCCCAUGCUCCUAGAUCUAAAAGAAAUAUUUCUGAUUUGUAAGUUUUUUCCAAUGUGUAGAAGAGGGUUACUUCUCUAUCAUCAAGUGUGCUUUUGAUGUAUGUUCUGUUGACUUUGAAAACAGCAAAAACCCUUCUUUCUGAAAGUGACAGUCAAAAACUAAAUCUAGUAGUCAAGAUUGCAAAGGUAGCCCAUCAUGCCUGGCCUAAAAAGUAAAAAAUGCAGGAGAGUAGUAGCGUCAUCUUAAGUUGGCCAUGGCUACUUCUCCGCGUCUGUCAGUAGUUCACUUAUGUUCAGUGUUAGAACAAACAUUGAAGGAGCAAAGUAAUUUCUGUGUCUUGUGUGCAUCAACACUUAGGAGCUGAGUUACCUCUUCUCGAUCUGCGGGAAAGGAUAAUUGGACUAUAAUUAUGUUGGAGGAUAUUUUUCUUUCCCUCUCCCAACUAUUUUUUUUCAGUGUUUUUUUUUUGCCCAGUCAAAAAGAUAGGCCUUUUCUAGAUAAAAGAACAGUGGCCAGAAAUUUACCCUUUUGCUAAUUGCUUAGGUAUUUGCCAUAGCUGUUUCUGAUGUCAUGGAUUCUGAGGAAGUGUCAGUUACAUGAUGAUCUUCCUUUAUUGAUGUCUUACUCCAUGUUCAGUGUUUUAAAAAUAUAAAUUACAAACACUCAACAUCCAUACCCAGAUUUACUUAUUUUAUCAGAAAAAAAACCUUGAGAAAUUUGUAGAUCAAAUUAAGAGACAAUAAGUGUACAUUGUUGAAUAAAAAAUUUUAAAGUUU